rnacentral:rRNA from 1 species
AAGACCUCGCGCUAUUGGAGCGGCCGAMGUCCGAUUAGCUAGUUGGUGAGGUAAUGGCCCACCAAGGCAACGAUCGGUAGCUGGUCUGAGAGGAUGAUCAGCCACACUGGGACUGAGACACGGCCCAGACUCCUACGGGAGGCAGCAGUGGGGAAUUUUGGACAAUGGGCGCAAGCCUGAUCCAGCCAUGCCGCGUGAGUGAAGAAGGCCUUCGGGUUGUAAAGCUCUUUCGGCCGGAACGAAAUCGUCCGGGCUAAUACCCCGGAUGGAUGACGGUACCGGAAGAAGAAGCACCGGCUAACUACGUGCCAGCAGCCGUGGUAAUACGUAGGGUGCAGGCGUUAAUCGGAAUUACUGGGCGUAAAGCGUGCGCAGGCGGCUUCCUAAGUCAGAUGUGAAAUCCCCGGGCUUAACCUGGGAACU